UACGUAGGGGGCAAGCGUUGUCCGGAAUCAUUGGGCGUAAAGCGCGUGUAGGCGGUUUCGUAAGUCUGCUGUGAAAGUCGGAGGCUCAACCUUCGAAAGCCGGUGGAUACUGUGAGACUUGAGUACGGAAGAGGAGAGUGGAAUUCCUGGUGUAGCGGUGAAAUGCGCAGAUAUCAGGAGGAACACCGGUGGCGAAGGCGGGUCUCUGGGCCGAUACUGACGCUGAGGAGCGAAAGCGUGGGGAGCGAACAGG
rnacentral:rRNA from 1 species